CAACGACAGACCGGCUCAUUUGCAGAGGAUGUGCAUCGCCUGCGUCUCGUCAGCAUCUUAGACGGUGGACUCGGACGGGCAUGCUGGCAUCUCUCCCUCUGUGACGCAACGAUGGUGGGUCAUACGGUGAAAAUGAAAAGUGCCGGUGAAACUCCAGGACGGUGCCAUCUACUUCUCAUGCGGUGCCAAAAGGGUACUUAUGUUGGAACGUAUCUCUUUGGGUAUACGAAAAGGAGCUGCGAAUGGUAUAGCCAACGUUCUCUGCGGUGUCACUCUUGAGAUCUGCCGCUCUGACAUGCAAAGCAG